rnacentral:tRNA from 8 species
GGAGAGGCCAGCCGAUUGGCGGCGGCAACUGUUCCGAAAACAGUCUGCCCUUACGGGCGUGUGGGUUCGACUCCCACUCUCUCCG